GACGGAGGGGGCGAGCGUUGUUCGGAUUUACUGGGCGUAAAGAGCACGUAGGCGGUCGGACAAGUCGGGUGUGAAAUCCUCCGGCUCAACCGGAGAACUGCGCUCGAAACUGUUCGACUUGGGUACAGGAGAGGAGAGUGGAAUUCCCAGUGUAGCGGUGAAAUGCGUAGAUAUUGGGAGGAACACCAGUGGCGAAGGCGACUCUCUAGCCUGAUACCGACGCUGAGGUGCGAAAGCCAGGGGAGCGAACGGGAUUAGAUACCCCCGUA
rnacentral:rRNA from 1 species